UUAUUGAGCUGAACUUGUACUCUUUGAAGAUGGUUUAGAAGGUACUCUAACCUAAGCGUGAAUGCGAUCGAGCCUUGGAUCAUCGUUAGUUGACUUAUGAGAGCUUUUGGAGACUUAUUUUGAGCAGGGUUGGAGCCGACUUUCUUCGACUUCUUGUGAUUAUUGGGAGCAUAGUACUAGGUGGGUUUGACCUAACCAGAGCAAGUGAAGCUCCCCUAUGUUCUAUAUGUAUUAUAGACGUGGUUUAAUUAUAUGCCUAUGUGAUUGUUAAAGGGCUCGGAAUUCGUCAUCAUGACGUUUAUCAUAU